rnacentral:lncRNA from 1 species
AAUGAAUCAUUUAUUGUUCUCUUAGUUAACAGAAAGAGAUAUUUUAUUGCACUGACAGUCUGUCCUACACAUAGAUAUAAAACAUCUUGUUCAAAAUCCGAUGUUUUAUAUUGAUUGUACCAUGUGAUACAGACUAAACUGGCUUCAUUAUUUAAAGGUAAUCAUUAAACAUGCAAGCGGCAGUCGUAAUUCCUGUCCGUUAUCCAGAGUAAUCCACUGCAGAAAAUACCCGUAUGAAUUAUAAUCAAAUCAUUUUCAUCUUAAUAAGGAUGACCCUAACAAUUAUCGUCCUAUUUCGAUUUUACCUACAGUGUCCAAUGUUUUUAAAGAAUUGUAUUCAUUUUUAACUAAAUACAAACUAUUAGUACAAAAACAAUCUGGAUUUAGAGAAAAACAUUUAUGCCACACAGCACUUACCAAAAUAAUUGACAAAUGGUUAGAAGAAUUUGACAAAGGC